rnacentral:lncRNA from 1 species
UUGGAAAACAAACUUUCAACUGAAAUUUUGCAGUUAAAUUAGAUUUGGUCCAGUUACCUAUUCAUCUUAAAUCCACAGUGUUAUUAGUUACUUAUAGUUGAGAAUGUGUUCACAUAAGGUUAAAAUAAAUAUUAAAUUAAUGUAAAUAACCCUAUUAAAGUUUUACUAUAUUUGUUUUAAUGACUUGGGACUUUUAAAAUUUUCUUUUUAAAAUCAUUUUUUCAACUCUAUUAUUUUGUUUGUUCCUACAUGUGAAAGUUGUGCUUUUCAUGAUUGUCAGAAGAAUAGCUUUCCAUAUGAAAAUGGCAUCCAUCAACAUCAUGUUUUCGAUAAGGGAAAGAGAGACUUCUUAAAUCUUUGUCUGAGAAACAGCUCUACUUAUUAUAAAGAUAAUUCAAAAGAAACUUCAAACACAGAUUUUGACAACAUCGUGGAUCCUGAUGUGUAUUCUUCUGACAUUGAAAAAAUUGAGGAAAGCACCUCCUUUGAAAGAAAUUUAAAGGAGAAAAAUAUAGGUUUAGAAAGUAAUCAAAAGUCUGAUGAUUCCUGUGUAUCACUUGAAAGCAAGGACACUUUGCUAGGUAGAGAUUUAGAAAAAGCUCCCAUUGAGGAGAAAUUAUCUCAAGACAUCAAAGAAUCCUUGGAAUUGAGCAAUCUGUAUAAGAGGCCAAGCUUUGAAGAAUCAAAAACUACAAAGUCAUCACUGUUGUUACAAGAAAUAGCCUGCAGAAGUAAGCCUAUAACAAAACAAUAUCAAGGACUUGAGAGAUUCUUUAUUUUUGAUACAAAUGAAAGACUCAACUUACUUCCUUCUCAUCGUUUAGAAUGCAACAAUUCCAGUACUAGGAUUACACUUGCAGGUCAGAAAUCACAGAGACCUUCAACAGCAAAUUUUCCACUUUCCAACUCUGUUAAAGAAAGCUCCAGUUGCCUUUCAUCCUCUCAUCCUCGAUCAAGAAGUGCAGCUGCUCAAUCAUCAUCUAGAGCUGCUUCUGAAAUUUCAGAAAUUGAAUAUAUUGAUAUUACUGACCAGAAUGAGCUUUCCUUAGAUGACACUACUGAUCAACAUACUUUAGACAAUUUGGAAAAAGAAUUACAAGUGCUGAGAUCUCUUGCAGAUACUUCAGAAAAGCUUUACAGCUUAACCUCAGAAGAGUUCCCAGAUUUCAGCAGCCAAUCACUGAAUAUAAGUCAGAUUUCCACAGAUUUCCUUAAGACCUCACAUGUGAGGGGUCCCUGUGGAGUUGAGGAAUUGAGCUGUUCUGGAAGAGAUACCAAAAUUCAGUCUUUGCUGUCACUUUCUGAGAGCAGUACAGAUGAGGAGGAGGAAGAUUUUCUCAACAAGCAACAUGUCAUCACACUACCGUGGUCAAAGAGUACUUAAAGAUUAUUUGUUCAUUACUGUUUCCAUUUUGUACCCAGAGUAAAGCAAACAACUGAGAAAAGUAACCAAGUGAUUACCUAUCCAAGUGCUGGAGAUUUUGAUUACUAAUGUCUUUGAUGUUUCAAGGCUACAAACUAAUAAAAGUAAAAUUAUAAGUUCAAGGGCUUAUUCUUCCAAUGAUAUAUUAUAUGUCAACCACUAAUCUAUAUUGCAGAUUAUGUUAGUAAAAUAUGGUGAAUUUGAAGAAAUAACUGUUACAACUGUGUCUAUAAAACCUACUAUAGGGCAGAACAUGAUUAUACUUAAAGAAAUAUUUCAUCGUCCAAUUAUAUUUUAAAUAAUUAUGUCAUCAACAAGAGUGUGCAUUUGACAGCCAAGUCACACUAGUUAGUAUCAUCAAUUGAACCUAUAAUUACACUGUUUAUUUUCUGGUUUUUAACAUUUAUAGAAGUUCUGGUAUCUUCAAAAAUUUGCAAUAAAAGAAAAAAAGAGGACCAAAAAUAAAAUGGGUGUGAAACUUUUCAUACUCUGCUCUAGCAAAACACAGUAAAGACCUCUAAGCAUCUUUUUUUAAGAAGGUCAAUGUAGUGAUUAGCUUUAUGUGAAAAUGUGACUGGUCUACAAUACCCAAAUGAUAUGGGUUGGCUCUGUCCCCACCCAGAUCUCAUCUUGAAUUGUAGUUUCUAUAAUCUCCAGGUGUCCUGGGAGGGACCUGGUGGGAAGUAAUUGAAUCAUGGGGGCAGUUACCCCUAUGCUGCUGUUCUCGUGAUAAUGAGUUCUCAUGUGAUCUGAUGGUUUUAUAAGGGGCUGUCCCCCCUUUUGCUCAGGACUUCUCUUUGCUGCUCCACUUGAAGAAGAAUGUGUUUGCUUCCCCUUUCACCAUGAUUUCCUGAGGCCUCCCCCACCAUGCUGAACUGUGAGUCAAUUAAACCUCUGUCC